rnacentral:ncRNA from 1 species
UCAACUUUAACUAGAUUUACACAUGCGAGUAUCCGCACCCCCGUGAGAAUGCCCCACAACCUCCUGAAUUGGAGAUGAGGAGCUGGUAUCAGGCACAAUAUCUUUAGCCCACGACGCCUUGCUUAGCCACACCCCCAAGGGAUUUCAGCAGUGACAAACAUUAAGCCAUGAGUGAAAACUUGACUUAGUCAGUGUUAACAGGGCCGGUAAAUCUCGUGCCAGCCACCGCGGUUAUACGAGAGACCCAAGUCGAUGGCCUUCGGCGUAAAGCGUGGUUAGGAAAACCUAAAACUAAAGGUAAACGGUCUCAAAGCUGUUAUACGCUCAUGAGACUCUGAAAAUCAACUACGAAAGUGACUUUAAACCCCUGACCCCACGAAAGCUAUGGUACAAACUGGGAUUAGAUACCCCACUAUGCUUAGCCCUAAACAUAGAUACUAACCUACUUAUUUUAUCCGCCUGGGAACUACGAGCGUCAGCUUAAAACCCAAAGGACUUGGCGGUGCUUUAGAUCCACCUAGAGGAGCCUGUUCUAGAACCGAUAAUCCCCGUUAAACCUCACCUUUCCUUGUUCUUAUUCCGCCUAUAUACCGCCGUCGUCAGCUUACUCUGUGAAGAUCCCAUAGUAGGCACAAUCGGUACAGCCCAAAACGCCAGGUCGAGGUGUAGCGUAUGGAAAGGGAAGAAAUGGGCUACAUUCAGUAAUUUAAUGAAUACGGAUGACAUCCUGAAAAAAAUGUCUGAAGGAGGAUUUAGCAGUAAGUAGAGAAUAGAGUGCUCUACUGAAUCUGGCCCUGAAGCGCGCACACACCGCCCGUCACUCUCCCCGAGCUAAUAAAAGCACAUAAUUAAUAAACGAGACCUGCAAAGGGGAGGCAAGUCGUAACAUGGUAAGUGUACCA